rnacentral:lncRNA from 1 species
AUAUAGCAUUCUAGUUGGGACUUGGAACUGAAAGAUUUGAGGAGCCCAAGGAUCUAUCUAGAUUGUAUCUAUCACCUAGAGGGGGGUGAAUAGGUGAACGGCUAAAAACCACAAAUCUCGAUGCAAUAAAAAUAAAUGCGAAAAAUAAAAAGCACACCGAGAUUUACGUGGAAAAACUCCAACUUGGAGAAAAACCCACGGGACCAACACGUGAAAAAAUAAUUCACUAAGAGAAAAGAUUACAAGGUGAUUACCGACUCCACGGACUCAACCUCUCUUAACCUCUUAUGAAUCUUCGCGCUACCCUCCGGGUUGUCCAUGCCCUCACGUUCGAAUCCACGAACGCCUCCACUUCGAAUCCACGAAGCUUCAAUCACGUCGAAUCCACGACGCCACUCGAAUCCACGAGCCAACGAUCCGAAUCCACGAACCGCCUUUGUUCACGCCGAAUCCACGACGCCGUUCAUGAAGAGCAUC